AACCUUAUGGACCUGCGGGCGUAUACCUGCGGAGGGAUCAUUACAAGUGACCCCGGUCUAACCACCGGGAUGUUCAUAACCCUUUGUUGUCCGACUCUGUUGCCUCCGGGGCGACCCUGCCUUCGGGCGGGGGCUCCGGGUGGACACUUCAAACUCUUGCGUAACUUUGCAGUCUGAGUAAACUUAAUUAAUAAAUUAAAACUUUCAGCAACGGAUCU
rnacentral:misc_RNA from 1 species